rnacentral:rRNA from 1 species
GCCUGCCCAGUGACUUUGUUCAACGGCCGCGGUAUCCUAACCGUGCGAAGGUAGCGUAAUCACUUGUUCUUUAAAUGAGGACUAGUAUGAAAGGCAUCACGAGGGUUCUACUGUCUCCUUUUUCUAAUUAGUGAAACUAAUCUCCCCGUGAAGAAGCGGGAAUCCAAAUAUAAGACGAGAAGACCCUAUGGAGCUUUAAAUUAUAUAACAAUUGCUACCCCCUUUUAUUAACCCUUUAACGUCUAGCAAUUUGAUUAUAUAUUUUUGGUUGGGGUGACCGCGGAGCACAACACAACCUCCACAUUGAAAGGACCAUACUCCUAAGCUAAAAACAACAACUUUAUGCAUCAGUAUACUGACAUUAAUUGACCCAAUAUAUUUGAUCAACGAACCAAGUUACCCUAGGGAUAACAGCGCAAUCUACUUUAAGAGCCCAUAUCGACAAGUAGGUUUACGACCUCGAUGUUGGAUCAGGGUGUCCUAGUGGUGCAGCCGCUACUAAUGGUUCGUUUGUUCAACGAUUAAAACCCU